rnacentral:RNase_P_RNA from 1 species
GCAGUUGUUCGGUUUGUCGCUGUUUUUUUACCAAAGCAGAGGAAAGUCCGGGCAACACAGAGCAAUAUCCUUCCUAACGGGAAGUUGUCCGCGAGGGCAAAGUAGCGUAACAGAAAAUAACCGCCCCGCUUCGGCAGGGUAAGGGUGAAAAGGCAGGGUAAGCGCCUACCGUUCCAAUGGCGACAUUGGAAGCCGUACGCCUGAUAUGUUGCAAGUUCAAGUAAACCAACGCAGUAGGGUUGCUCGCCCGAUGUUGGAGGGUAGAAUGCUACGAGGCAAGUGGCGACACUUGUCGCAGAUAAAUGACAAACAUUUCGUGAAAAUCGAAAUACAGAACCCGGCUUAUAGAACAACUGCUUUC